UAUACUCAACAAUCCAAUGCUAACUUUCUCUAUUAAUUCCUUUUACAUAUCUUUACAAUUUCUAGAUCAGUGAAAACAAGUGAAUAUUUCAAAUCUGAGGGGUUCUCAGCCUUGGAAAAAAUAGGAAUCCCUGCUGUAUGGAAAAGGAUCUCAGCAAACACUUUCUACAUGCUCCAUAUAAGCAUCGUUGGAGCAACUCUGUCACAAGAGAAGCAGUCCAGCCCCCUCUACCCAAGGAGCAAGAUGGCAAGUGAUGACUCUGGGUUGUGUAGAGUAGGAAUAUGGACCGGGUUUCCUACACAGCAUGGCUCAUGUGGUUGGGUUGGCAAAGUUAAUGAGGGUGGGCAGGGGAGAAGGAUACUGUGGAGUCGUGCACUAGCUAGUGCCUUGAUACUCAGACUGAGGCUUGGGAGCUGCAAAUGUCUCUUUAAUGUGUCUCCUGGAGUUCUUUGCAGCACAUAUUAAAACACUGAUUUAAUUAUUAACCAAUCAGGAUGCUUUUACUGUGUUAUUAACCAACUGUAGAAUACUUAGUCCAUUUUGCUGUGAGAAAAUGUGUGUGUGUGUGUGUGUAAAAAAAUAGUAAAGAAACAAUGAAUUUACACCGUGACUCUCUUCGGUUAUGUUGGCUAAAUUGGCUCCUGAACCACUGAAAUCUGAGUAUCAGGCAGCUAGUGCAUAUGUACACCAUGCUCCCUCGUGCAUGGAAUGUCAGAUUUGAUUAAGUGUGUGACAGUUGUCUUCUGGUGGCUGCACCCUAUUGAGUCAAAGUCCCAGUACUCUAGCUCACAGGGAGUCUCCUCUAGUUUGUGAUAGGACUAUAAUUUUGAAGUUGGAGAUACUGUUGCCUAAUGAGCUGUCCAAAGGAACUAAGCAGCUUACAAAGGGGAGGAGGAGGGAACCCCACACAACUAACUUCAACAAAAGCACAGCUUUGCUGGAGUGAUCUAUCACCUUUGUUUCCACAGAAUCUGAUGUGCAGCCACACUUGUGGAUGUGGGUAAACCCCAACCUGGUUUGCCCCAUAACAGGAUACCCUAAUAAGGGAGUCCCAGGAAAACAAGUGCAUUUGGUAGUUCCUGCACCCAAGGCAGCUGUUAGAAAACCUACUUCAGUAAAACCAAGGCCCCCAGUAGCUGCUCCCCUACAAACUUCCUCUGGACAAUGUGUUUCAGUGCCCCUAGUAACUGCUGCACCCAAGGUCUCAACUAGAAAAUAUAGUUCAGUAAAGGCAGUGGCUCUCGUCACUGCCCUGCAGACUUCUCCUUUGGCCUCUGUUUCCAUACCCCCGUUGGCUGCUUCUGGUGCUGUGACUCCGCAGGCUUCCACAGUCAAGAAUGUUCCCAGAAAACCAGUGUUCCCUGUAUUAUUGGCAGCUGUUGCACCCAAGGCUUCUACUCCAGUAAAACUUGUACCUCCAGUAGCUGCUGCAUCCAAGGCUUCCAACAGAAAACAUGCUUCAGUAAAGACUGUGCCCCCAGUAGCUGACACCAUGCAGGUUUGCACACAGACACCUGGAAAAAACAUGUCCCUGGAAGCUGCAGCACUUGUGGACUCCUAUCAAAAGCCAGUCUUAAUUGACUCCAAGCAACUCUGUCCCAAGGAGGAGGUACUACUGUGCUCAAGCAAAGCAAAGUGCUGAGAUUUGGUAUGACCUGUGACUCCCACAGCCCCUGUGACCUGGAUGACUUGACACCUGACCUUCAUCUCUUCUUUUUGCUAAACGAUGCUGACUUCAAAAUGGCCUUUGCCAGCAAGAGGCUAGUGAAGAUGGGCUUUGUGGAAAGCAAC
ensembl:lncRNA